UAGAGGCGGCAGAGACAGGAACAGAGUCAAGGCAGUGGAGGUGGGAGGCAGGAGGGAAACCAGCCG
rnacentral:sRNA from 1 species